UCGCCUGUUUAUCAAAAACAUCGCCUCUUGCAACUCACAUAUAAGAGGUAACGCCUGCCCAGUGACCAUGUGUUUAACGGCCGCGGUAUUCUGACCGUGCAAAGGUAGCGUAAUCACUUGUCUUUUAAAUAAAGACCAGUAUGAAUGGCAUCACGAGAGUUCAACUGUCUCCCACACCCAAUCAGUGAAACUGAUCUCCCCGUGCAGAAGCGGGGAUAAAACCAUAAGACGAGAAGACCCCAUGGAGCUUUAAACUAAAGGCACUAGCUUCUUAUUAAUACCCAAGGACAAAAUAUUUAACCAGCUAAAGUGACCUGUCGUUUUCGGUUGGGGCGACCACGGAGAAAAGCAAAUCCUCCGAAAUGAAAGGGACAACCCUUAGCCAAGACUCACAACUCUAAGCAAUAGAACAUCUAACACACCGAUCCAAUCAAAUUGAUCAACGAACCAAGUUACCCUGGGGAUAACAGCGCAAUCUAUUUUCAGAGUUCAUAUCGACAAAUAGGUUUACGACCUCGAUGUUGGAUCAGGGCCUCCUAGCGGUGCAGCCGCUGCUAAGGGUUCGUUUGUUCAACGAUUAAAGCCCUACGUGAUCUGAGUUCAGACCGGA
rnacentral:rRNA from 1 species